rnacentral:rRNA from 1 species
CAGCCGUAAACUAUGCGCGUUAGGUGUAUCGGUGACCACGAGUCACCGAGGUGCCGAAGGGAAACCGUGAAACGUGCCGCCUGGGAAGUACGGUCGCAAGGCUGAAACUUAAAGGAAUUGGCGGGGGAGGCACAACAACGGGUGGAGCCUGCGGUUUAAUUGGACUCAACGCCGGACAACUCACCGGGACGGACAGCAAUAUGUAGGCCAGGCUGAAGACCUUGCCUGAAUCGCUGAGAGGAGGUGCAUGGCGUAGACGUCU